UGUCACGGCUGUUUAUGCAACCUGCCCAUGGUAUUGGCCGCCAUCUUGGACGUGACGGGUCUCGCUGACGUCGGGUUGAUGAUCUCAUCUGUCCGACUUUACAGGACGACUUCGAGUAUCAUUAUUCAGAAGUUAUUUUCAAGUGGUGAUCACAAACACGACGUUGAUAUAGAGACAGAGCCGAGUCAGAAGAACGGGACAAAAGCAUGAAAACCACUGCUGAAUUACAGAAGUAACCCGCCGUGCUGAGGGAGGCCGAGAUUACUGAAUGCAAACAAGAGGAACACAGAUGGGCUUCCCUCUGCCCUUGACUGGAGGCACGGCACAAACGAAAAAUUUGCAUCUCAAAGGGCUUGUGGGAUGCGGGCCGAUGCCACUCUGUAGUGAAACACUGCAGUGGAGUUGAGCGGAAGUGACAGAUGAUAUCACCUUGUGGGUUGAGCUCUAAUGGCCUGUGAAUGACUCUCACAAUCCCACAACUAACUAACUGUCAUAAUGAGCUAAUACAAUCAGCUCAGCGCUGAUGAAGGCAGUCUUUAUCUGGCCUGGAGAAAAUUCAAUUCAAUUUUAAUUUAUAAAGCGCUUUUCACAAAGUGUGUGUGGAUGUGGGACAGGGAUGCAACAAGCUCUACACCAGCAAAACAAAUCUAGCAAGCUGCCUAAACAGUAUUUUACUUCUUGCUUUAAAAUUGCUUUGCAGCAAUGGCUGUCAGAUUGAAACCAUAAUUCAUCUGAUUACCCCAAACUUUUAACAGUCCGUGAAAUCCCAAUUUACUUUAUUUAAUUGUUUAGCACACAUUGUUUUUGUUUUGAAAACUUUACAACAUCAUGUGGUCUUUGAAACCUUUGUAAAAACAGAUUAAAACUAUUAGCUUGACAGCAACAUAAAAUAACACCAGGAAUAGACAUUUUAAUAAUGAGGCAUGUUCAUUCUGUAAAUCACUUGUGACCCUGG